AGUUAGAGGAUUUCCAGGUUUCUCCAGAGGCCACAGUGAGUACGCUAAUAACUGAGGAGACCACAUACACUAUGAGUGGGAACACCACAGAAUUCAACUGUUAUUCUCAGCCUUAGGACAACGAGGACAGGUGCCUUCUCAUCACAAUAUGAAGAGGCUUUGCAAGAUGAGGAAGAGAGCCCAAGCCAGAGAUGCAGCCGAGACUGGCACUACUGCAGUGGCCAAGACUGUUUCAGGGCCAAGUUCAGCAGCUUCUCUCAACCCUAUUGAAGUCUGAAGCUUUUUUCAUCCAGUCAAGCAGAUAUAACAUCACCAAAAGGGAUUUUUAUGGAAAUACAAAAAAAACCCCAGUAAAAUAAUUGAGAUAAUGAAAUAGAAAAAAACAAUAAAACAUGAUCUUGGUUUUCUUCA